rnacentral:lncRNA from 1 species
AUGACCUUUCAAACACCUCUAUUAGCUGCAGCUAGGACCGUCUCAGAAGAUCUACCAUUUAAAUACCUACCAAUCUCAGUCUUGCAUACUUUCAGACCUGUUUCAGGAAAGCCGUACAAUGGUGAAUUUGUCUUUGGUUUUAAAAUGGACAUGAAAAGAAGAGCUCUCUCUUCCUUGUAUCACCUGCAUUUAUCGAACUACAUCACGAACAUGUGUUCCCGAGCGAGAUGGAUCACAGCAUCAGAUUGGGUCUCAGCUGUGCCUUGGGGCUGAUGGGACGACAUUGAUUCUUGCCCGCUGUAACCUCAUUGGCAUGCCAUAGGUGUGACAAUUAGCCACUGAGGACCUCUGCCAGGAUUGUUUGAAAAGUGUGGCCGCUGAUCUCGAACGUGGAUUAAAUAUUUAUCAUGUGCUCAAGCAUUUCAUCAGCCUGGAGAUGAAGAGCCACCUGAGGAGAAGGUACAAUCACUUAAAUGAUGGAAAAGAUGGAGUGAAACCAGAAACACGGCUAAAAGAAGCCGGACUCUGUUGUAUCUGUGUGGCCUGGCUGUCAGUAGAUGCCAUUAUUAUAUAUUAAUAAUAUUAUGAUUCAAAAAUAGUUUCUCCAGGUGUUUUUAACUAGGUAUUAUGUGAGUCUAACAUACAUGUUAUAAUCAAUCAAUCAAUAAACUUUUUUUUUUUUAAGACAGCAUGACCCAUUCAACCCGGCUGUGUCCAUUUGAUGCCUGAAUGGGAGAUCACAGAUUUGCUCAGAAGAGGUGAAAAAAAUUUACUUGAACUAAAAUAGUUCACAGCUAAUGGUGACACAAGACAGCCUAUUUGGGCCACAUUUGCUGCAAAACACAAAGCUUGGUCUGUACUUAACUGUCUAUGCAAGAAUUCAGUGAACCAUCUGUGUUAAUAAAAAGAAUACUGAAAUAAACAAAUGUUCUUUUUUUCAUACGUAACAGUGGUAGAUGCUUAGGUGCAUAGCUGAUAUGUAAUUUAUUAUUUUUUUGCUAAAAGUACAUCUAAGCACAUCAGACUACCUCAUGCUUUUAUAGUACAUUUCAUAAGAAUUAUGAUCCCUUUAAAAACCC